UGGGGACUUUCAAGGACUGGGGCACCAGUCAACAGUCUGAAUGGAUUGCGGUCAAGAUCCAUUAGUUCAGGAAGCUGUUUGGGUUCUCUUUGAACUCUAUUUGAGCUCUUUAUCGAGUGGGACUCAUAUCUGAGUUCUUUAAACUGACCUAUGGCAAUAAAAAGCUGUGUGUUGGAAUUAAUGGCUCGAUAAAGAUCUGUGUGCACAGAAUAGAG
rnacentral:lncRNA from 1 species